AGUGGCCUGAUUCUUGUAAAAAUAACUUUUGAUUUUUAUUCUGCCUUUUGUAAAAUAGCUUACACAUUCUUCUUCUAUUUCUUCCCACAACAACAAUCCUAUGAGGAUGGGAUGAUAAAGGAUGCUGGUCCAAAAUCACCUGAAUACCACCUUUGAUGUCGUCUUUUUGCCAGACAUCUGGAAACUUUAGGUUUACAUAAGACACUUACCAAUGAAAGCAAGGAUUUCUCAGUUUGAAUUAGAAGCGAGCUACACAGGCAGAGUUUUCUAAUAAAGCUUCAGUACUUCAGUCAAGUUCACUUCUUAUCUCAAAUUGAGUUUUAUUAUUGAAAAAGCUUACUGGCUGAAUUCAGCCCCCACCUCCUUUUUACCUAGAAAAGGUUUUUCUUCAUUUUCAUAUCUUCUUAAAUGCUCCAGUGAAGCAAGAAACAAAAAACCCCGCACUGAGCAUUGAAGAAUCUUGAUAGGAAAGUUCAAUAGAGUUUGAAACAUUCCUCCCUUUUGUGACGCUCUCUCUCAACUCAUAGCCCAGUGUAGCUGCAUUUAAUUAAGAUAAUCAAACAGUGAAAUUCCAACCACCCACCUCUUAUGUAAUAUGGAGUUUGGCCUACAAAAAGCAGUGUAUAACACAUACUGCAAGCCAAUUCUCACCACAUCUUGCAAUUCCCAUCCAUUUCUAAAGCUAAGCAUUUACAUUUCCCCCACUUCUCAGCACUACUUCCUACCAGCUGUCCUUUCCUUUUUUCUAGUUCAACAGAGUAGUGUUUACGUGGGAAGAGAUUGCCGUCUGUGACCAAUUGUUUCUCUAGGAAAUGAAUCAGAGGGGAAGAAUAAACAUUUGUGGUAUGGUGACCAUUUCUGAGAAUGUUCUGCCACAUCACAAAGAUCCCAAACAUACAACAAGAGCAGUUCACAAACUGUGGUUUCCUCCAAUGAUGCGUCCAUAAUAUUAAGAGGUGACUGUGUCAUCUGCUAAAUGUGUUUCCUUCAUACAAAGGAUGUUCAGAAUAAAUUUUAUUACAAAUGCAGAUGAAGCUUAAUUUAUAGAUGUCCUUGGUCCUGUUAUGUGACCAUACCUCUAGUCUAAAAUCAUUCUUGAAUGUCUGUACUAUUAAAGACACCUACAUAUG